rnacentral:rRNA from 1 species
UACGUAGGGCGCAAGCGUUGUCCGGAAUUAUUGGGCGUAAAGAGCUCGUAGGCGGCUUGUCACGUCGGGUGUGAAAGCCCGGGGCUUAACCCCGGGUCUGCAUUCGAUACGGGCAGGCUAGAGUGUGGUAGGGGAGAUCGGAAUUCCUGGUGUAGCGGUGAAAUGCGCAGAUAUCAGGAGGAACACCGGUGGCGAAGGCGGCAUCCUGGACCAAUUCUGACGCUGAGGAGCGAAAGCCAGGGGAGCAAACGGG